rnacentral:rRNA from 1 species
UACGUAGGGGGCAAACGUUAUCCGGAUUCACUGGGUGUAAAGGGAGCGUAGACGGCGACGCAAGUCUGGAGUGAAAGCCCGGGGCCCAACCCCGGGACUGCUCUGGAAACUGCGGCGCUGGAGUACGGGAGGGGCAGGCGGAAUUCCUGGUGUAGUGGUGAAAUGCGUAGAUAUCAGGAGGAACACCGGCGGCGAAGGCGGCCUGCUGGACCGUGACUGACGUUGAGGCUCGAGAGCGUGGGGAGCAAACAGG